GGCGACAGUGAGUGCCAUUAAUCGGUAUAGUCACUGACCAACAAAAGCUACGCUACUAUCAACGAGAUACGGCCUCCGUAUAAAUUGUUCUUGUUCAAAUCAACUUGGGAGAAGACAUCACGUAAAAAAAUAAGUAAGUCAACAAAAAUCCGUUAAAGGUGGUACUACAUGACUACUGAACUGCGUUUAAGCUAGUUCAUGCAGAUAACUACGCCCAGACAAAUUACGAAACAUCAUAGAAAGAUACGUAGAUAGAAAAACUUUGACUAAACCUACUUUAUCCACCAAUCACAUGUAAUUCAAACGUAAGUUCAUCAUAAAUGCUUUUCAAUGUCAUAAUAAAAAAAAAAAAAAAAUUAUCGUCAGGUCACCAGUUUCCAUAUAGAGAGAGAAAUUA